rnacentral:rRNA from 1 species
UACGAAGGGAGCUAGCGUUGUUCGGAAUCACUGGGCGUAAAGCGCACGUAGGCGGAUGUGUCAGUCAGGGGUGAAAUCCCGGAGCUCAACUUCGGAACUGCCCUUGAUACAGCACAUCUGGAGUCCGGAAGAGGUGGGUGGAAUUCCUAGUGUAGAGGUGAAAUUCGUAGAUAUUAGGAAGAACACCGGUGGCGAAGGCGGCCCACUGGUCCGGUACUGACGCUGAGGUGCGAAAGCGUGGGGAGCAAACAGG